rnacentral:misc_RNA from 1 species
GCAGACUUUGCUGGCUCUUCAGCUUUACCCACAUACCAAACAGUACUAUCGCAGACUUAUAAGCUUGUUGCAGCUAUAGACUUUGGGACAACAUAUUCUGGAUAUGCCUUUUCUUGGAAAAAAGAUCCUGCCAAUUUUGUCACCCUUAAAAGCUCAAGCUCAGACAAGCUCUCAGAGAAAGAGCCAUCAGUUCUACUUAUGGACAGGUCUGAGCACCUAGUUGAUUUUGGACAGGAAGCUGUGUUGAAGUACAAAGAAUUUUGUGAAGAAAAGUUACAGCAAGAUUAUUUCUACUUCAGCAAUUUUAAGAUGACUCUUCACAGAAAUGAGAAUCUUAGCAGAAAAACAAUCAUUCAGGAUGAUAAAGGCAGGGAGUGCUUUGCAGUGACGGUAUUUUCCUUGUCCAUCAAGUACUUCAAGGAGAGGCUUUUGCGUCAGCUUGAUAAAUCAAAGGACCACUGCUCUGAUGAAGAUAUUCGCUGGGUAUUAACUGUCCCAGCAAUUUGGGGUGAACAAGCAAAGCAAUUGAUGCAAGAAAGUGCUGAAAUGGCUGGAAUCUCUCAACAUAAGUUGAUGCUUGCCUUAGAGCCAGAAGUAGCUGCUGUGUUUGUGAAAGAGAUCCAGAUAGAGCGACAGGCAGACGAGUUGUCAAAGUACAGACCAGGAAAGAAAUUCCUUGUCAUGGAUCUUGGAGGGGGAACAGCUGACCUGACAGCAAUGGAGGUUGUGGACGAUGGCUCCUUGAAACAGCUUCACCGUGCCUGUGGGGGGGACUGGGGAGGAAACAAGGUCAAUGACAACUUCUUCAAAUUUCUGGGGAGCUUAUUUGGGCAUUCUGUCAUAAAAGAAUGUGAAGAACGUUACCGAUCUGAUUUCCUCGAUUUGCAAAAAGAAAUUGAGGUUAUGAAAAGGAAAUUUGGCAAAGGUGACUACAUGUAUAACUCACCUCCGAAAUUUCAAAUUCCUUACAUGUACCAAACAUUCAUAAAAGAACAUCACGAAAUGGAGCUAAAAGCAAUAGUUGCUAACUCAGAAUUUUCUCAAGAUGCCUUUUUGAGUGAUAAUGGCAAGCUUAAGUUGUCUGCAAAAUUGAUAGAAACCUUACUGUUCAAUCCAGUGGUCAAUUGCAUCAAACAAGAAACAGAAAAUGUCUUGCAUGAACUGAGAGGUCAGAUCCAAGAUAUAAUGAUGGUGGGUGGAUUCUCUGAGUCUGAAUUUGUCUAUCAGACAAUCAAGGAAUCCUUUCCUCGUACGAAGCUCCUCAGAGCUAAUGAAGCAGGGUUGGCUGUUUUGAAAGGAGCUGUGUUAUAUGGACACAGUCCUGGUGUUAUAUCAUCUAGGAGAUGUGCCUUUACCUAUGGGGUGGGGCUUUACCGAGUAUUUUUGAAAGGUCAUGACCCUGAGGAUUUGAAGUGCAAGAUUCAAGGGGAGGACAAUAUUCCUGUAUUUGUUAAAAUGGUAACUGUUGGUGAUGAAGUUGGAAUUGGGGAGACUUUUGACCUAGAUGAAGAAAUUUUCCCUGUGAAAAAAGAUGCACCUCAGAUGUCAUUCAAGAUAUAUAGAUCUGCUUUAGAUAAUCCAGUUUAUAUUGACGAAUCAAGCAUUCAAAUUGGUAAGCUGACAGUGAAGAACAUCACCAGUAGUGUGAGGAUUUCUCUGUGCUUUGGACUGACACAGAUCACAGUGAUGGCAGUGAACACUGACACCAAAGAAAACGCGAUAGCUGAACUAGACCUUCUGGGCGAGCUCUAGCUCAGGAGUGUUAAGCUCAGUCUGGUCAAAAAUCGUCAUUUCCCCCUUUUCUUAUUAUAAGGUUAAAGGGGUUGGGGGAGGGGAGGCUUGUUUUAAGUAGCUUGUUUUGAUUAUUGGUGCUCGAGAAUGUAGACAAUUUAUGACAUUUUCAAGAGAGACUUGUAUCUUAUUGAAUAUGCAGAAUACAUGUGAAUUGAAAGCAAUUUUUUUUACCUUAGGGCAUAAAAAAAGUUUAACAAACCUAUGUUUUCUCUCUCUUUUUUUUUAAAAGACUGUUAUUUUUUUUAGAGUUUAUGUUCCAUUAUUUGUUUAAUGAAAUGCACAAUUGUAAUGAUACUGAUUAUAUGACAUUUUUUUUCUAUGAUCCGAUUUCAUUUUCAUCUAUACAGGUGCAGCUUUUCAUACAUAUCUUUGAGAUAAUAAGUUUAUGAAAAUUAUCAACUUGUUUCCAAGUUGUAUGUACAUUAUCAAGCAUUGGUUUCAAUGCUUUCUUAGAAUUGUUAUGGUAUUGUAUGUUUGUCUUUAAGACAAAUAUCUCAUAUUUUAAAUGAAUUUUCUCUUCUUUUUUUUAAAUAAUAACAAUAAAAGUGUCUGAUAAUC